rnacentral:tmRNA from 1 species
GGGGGCGACCUGGCUUCGACGUGGAUAGCGAAACUUUUUGUGCAUACCGAGCUGUAGCGACUCGUUAAACCACUGCAAACCUUAUAGUUGCAAACGAUAACAACUACGCAUUAGCUGCUUAAUAACCAGUUUUAAUGCCCUUGGCCCACAAUGAGCCUAUGCGUUGUGGAAUCCAGGGUUACUUUUAUAGGAUCGCGGCGAGUGAUGUUCAAGCGCAGACCGUUAAACUCUUACUUGAACUGGCUUAGUGGCUUCCCUGACAGUCGGGUACUGCUAAGUAAGAUUAAAGACUGAAUAAGUAUGUAGAGCGAGAAGCGGAGGAUUUGCGGACGCGGGUUCGAUUCCCGCCGCCUCCACCA